rnacentral:rRNA from 1 species
GACGAACGCUGGCGGCAUGCCUAACACAUGCAGGUCGAACGGAGAUUACUUCGGUAAUCUUAGUGGCGAACGGGUGAGUAACGCGUGGGCAACCUGCCCUCUAGAUGGGGACAACAUCCCGAAAGGGGUGCUAAUACCGAAUGUGACAGCAAUCUCGCAUGAUGAUGCUGUGAAAGAUGGCCUCUAUUUAUAAGCUAUCGCUAGAGGAUGGGCCUGCGUCUGAUUAGCGAGUUGGUGGGGUAACGGACUACCAAGGGGAGGAUCAGUAGGCGGACGGAGAGGAUGAACGGCCGCAUUGGGACUGAGACCCGGCCCAGACUGCUAGGGGAGGCAGCAGUGGGGAAUCGUCCGAAAUGGGCGAAAGACUGACGGAGCAAGGCCGCGUGAGGGAUGAAGAAAUUCGUGCCGUAGAGGUCUUUUGUUUAUGACGAAUGUGCAGAUUGUAAAUAAGAAUCUGUAAUGACGGUAGUAAACGAAUAAGCCACGGCUAACUACGUG